rnacentral:rRNA from 1 species
GGUAGGCAACACGAGGACUUCCCAGGAGGUCACCCAUCCUAGUACUACUCUCGCCCAAGCACGCUUCACUGCGAAGUUCUGAUGGGAUCCGGUGCAUUAGUGCUGGUAUGAUCGCACCC